rnacentral:siRNA from 1 species
GUAUGAGUUGUCAGAGGUGAAGG